rnacentral:rRNA from 1 species
GACGAACGCUGGCGGCGUGCUUAACACAUGCGAGUCGAACGGAAAGGCCCUGCUUUUGUGGGGUGCUCGAGUGGCGAACGGGUGAGUAACACGUGAGUAACCUGCCCUUGACUUUGGGAUAACUUCAGGAAACUGGGGCUAAUACCGGAUAGGAGCUCCUGCUGCAUGGUGGGGGUUGGAAAGUUUCGGCGGUUGGGGAUGGACUCGCGGCUUAUCAGCUUGUUGGUGGGGUAGUGGCUUACCAAGGCUUUGACGGGUAGCCGGCCUGAGAGGGUGACCGGCCACAUUGGGACUGAGAUACGGCCCAGACUCCUACGGGAGGCAGCAGUGGGGAAUAUUGCACAAUGGGCGGAAGCCUGAUGCAGCAACGCCGCGUGCGGGAUGACGGCCUUCGGGUUGUAAACCGCUUUCGCCUGUGACGAAGCGUGAGUGACGGUAAUGUGUAAAGAAGCACCGGCUAACUACGUG